UACGUAGGGUGCAAGCGUUAAUCGGAAUUACUGGGCGUAAAGCGUGCGCAGGCGGUUUUGUAAGUCUGUCGUGAAAUCCCCGGGCUUAACCUGGGAACUGCACUUGUGACUGCACAGCUGGAGUGCGGCAGAGGGGGAUGGAAUUCCGCGUGUAGCAGUGAAAUGCGUAGAUAUGCGGAGGAACACCGAUGGCGAAGGCAAUCCCCUGGGCCUGCACUGACGCUCAUGCACGAAAGCGUGGGGAGCAAACAGG
rnacentral:rRNA from 1 species